ensembl:lncRNA
GAGGUGACAGGGCCGUAUGGUGGAUCUCCUGCCAGUGACAGGCUGUCAUUUGGAGAUGUGUGCCAUGUGGCUGUCUCUCAGCCUGUCUUUGAGCUGAAGGAUGACCCCUCCUGCUCACUGGGGCUUCACCGGCCAUGCCAUUCCUGUCUCUCAGCUUACACGUCUGACAGGAGACAUGACGUCCGAGACACAUCGACUCCAUCUUUAGCUCUUGAGAACUUCAUGAGAGCUUUCUGACCUGCUGCACAGUCACAGUCACAGUCUGCUAUGACAGCUGCACAUCCUCAGAACGGAAAGCCCUUCAGCGGGUAGUCAAAACUGCCCAGCGCGUCACUGAACUCGGCUACUGGCCAUCGAAGACCUGAACAACAGUCGCUGCCGGCAAAGAGCUCACCAGAUCAUCAGGGAUUCCAUCCACCGCAGCUACAGUCUGUUUUCUUCCCUGCCAUCUGGAAGCCACAUAGACACAUACAAACACGGACCACAAGGCUAAAGAACAUUUUCAUCCCUUGAGGUGUUGCAUAAGCUAAACUCUAAUCUCUCUUUCACUGUCAUCUAACUUAGUCUAACAAAUCCUCAAACCAAAUACCAAACCACAAAAUACUGAUGCUUAAUUUUACUAUUAAUAUAUAUAUAUAUAUAUAUAUAUAUAUAUAUAUAUAUAUAUAUAUAUAUAUAUAUAUAUAUAUAUAUAUAUAUAUACGCACAUAAUACUGCAUAUUGAUAAAUCUUCAUCCCACUUUUUAACUCUAGUUGAAAGUUAAAAGGAAUAACUUUUAAUAAUAAAGUAAGUUAAGGAAUGAAGUUGUUUGUUGCAAAACAUAAAUGAAAAAAAUUGCUUAAUGCUUCUGAAAUGAGAUUAAUCAUUUUAGAGACAAGCGUGGUUCCGUAUUGCUUUGCAUAUGGCCCUAGAGCAACAGCAAUGAAAAAAACCUAGAGGAAGUGCUCUUCGUUACAUAUGAUCUCUCAAAUUAAGUGCUUUUUAAACUAUGUUCUAGACUAUAUUCAUUGACGAAAGACACAAAAGCAAAUGGGUUAAGAAAGAUAACAAGGAACAGGAAAAUAAGAUCAUAUAUGUGUGUGUAUAUAUAUAUAUAUAUAUAUAUAUAUAUAUAUAUAUAUAUAUAUACACACACACACACACACAGUAUAUAUGAUGAAUUAAACAUUAAUGAGACAAAUUAUUAAUCAUCAUGAACAAAAUUAAUGCAGAGUGAGAUAGUCAAACAGGGUGUCUUUUUUUAAAGAUGUAAGCACAUUGUCCUCCCCUGCUGCAAUAUCAGAGUAGCUGGACAUAUUUGCAUGCUCAGCGCUGUGUGUCUGCAGUAAUUCAUCAUUGGUCUCUGAGGUAUUGAAAGCAU